GAGCAGUGACGAUUGAUUUGCGCUAAACCUGUGAUGGCUGGGUCUCAUCACCAACGUCUGAUGUAUCGGACGACAAUACGCGCAUCUGAGCUC
rfam:Vitis vinifera, whole genome shotgun sequence of line PN40024, unoriented chromosome 15, chr15